rnacentral:ncRNA from 1 species
GAGAGCACAGUAUGAUGAAAGUUGUAAGCUGUGUUUGAGGGGGAGUUAUUGUCUAUCAUCGGCCUCUACGGUAGAAUCAGUCGGGGAGCCUAAGAGGCGGUGGUUUACCCUAC